rnacentral:rRNA from 1 species
GACGAACGCUGGCGGCGUGCUUAACACAUGCAAGUCGAACGAAGAGCGAUGGAAGCUUGCUUCUAUCAAUCUUAGUGGCGAACGGGUGAGUAACGCGUAAUCAACCUGCCCUUCAGAGGGGGACAACAGUUGGAAACGACUGCUAAUACCGCAUACGAUCUAAUCUCGGCAUCGAGGAUAGAUGAAAGGUGGCCUCUACAUGUAAGCUAUCACUGAAGGAGGGGAUUGCGUCUGAUUAGCUAGUUGGAGGGGUAACGGCCCACCAAGGCGAUGAUCAGUAGCCGGUCUGAGAGGAUGAACGCCACAUUGGGACUGAGACACGGCCCAGACUCCUACGGGAGGCAGCAGUGGGGAAUCUUCCGCAAUGGACGAAAGUCUGACGGAGCAACGCCGCGUGAGUGAUGACGGCCUUCGGGUUGUAAAGCUCUGUUAAUCGGGACGAAAGGCCUUCUUGCGAAUAGUGAGAAGGAUUGACGGUACCGGAAUAGAAAGCCACGGCUAACUACGUG